CAGCAGCCGCGGUAAUACGAAGGUCCCGGGCGUUGUUCGGAAUCACUGGGCGUAAAGGGAGCGUAGGCGGCGUGGUAAGUCAGAUGUGAAAUCCCGGGGCUCAACCCCGGAACUGCAUCCGAUACUGCCAUGCUAGAGGAUUGGAGAGGUAGCUGGAAUUCUUGGUGUAGCAGUAAAAUGCGUGGGGAUCAAGAGGAACACUCGUGGCGAAAGCGAGCUACUGGACAAUAACUGACGCUGAGGCUCGAAGGCCAGGGUAGCGAAAGGGAUUAGAUACCCCCGUAGUCCCUGUCUCUUAUAC
rnacentral:rRNA from 1 species